rnacentral:lncRNA from 1 species
AAUAGAAAUUUCCAUUAGUUUCUGUUCUUGAUGACAUGUGCUAAUACAGCAAGAGCAGUUAAGGUGAGAUAAACAAUUGACGAUGGAACGGGGUGACUCCCGGUUUGUUGACGAGGUUGGGAAGCGGGGUUCUGAUUCUAAGAGGGAGAAAAGCCAGAGAACGUGGACAGCUGGUAAGAAGACUGAAGACUGGGAGUGAAGUUGGGCAGGAAGUAGGUCACUGUUGGACAGGUGCCUUUGAAGGUGGUUCUGUCUAGUCCCCAGUUCUGUCCUCUGCCCUGCUUCCUGCCCACUACGAGGUGAAGAGUCCCCUCCAGUGUUCUGGUGGCCAUGAUGUCUGCCUCCCUACGAACCCAGAAUCAACAGAACCAAAGACCGUGGAUGGAGACCUCAGUGUGAACCAAGAUAAAUCACAUCGCUGAAAACAGAACUAAUCCAAUAAGAUAACAGUCUGUUGAGACAACAGAGAUUCAAGGGUUCGCACACGCAUGAGGAGAGUUGAGUUAACACAUCGGGAUUAUGACGUAAACCACGAGGUGUGUGGACGGUCCCGGGCAAGUGUUAUUUCCGUGCUGCUGAUUUCUCCUUCGAAGGCUUGCGGUUGAGCUGCUGCUUCGGGCUUGCUCAGGCAAGAGGAUCUGAAGAAUGCCUAGUUGAUGGAAAUUCAUCCCGCUCAAGGGUACUUAACGAUGCUCUUGAAGCAUUGGCGCUAGAAACCAGAAACCCUUUGGGACAAGAACUGCAUCUGGUGACUCCUUCCAUUCCCCAACACCACAUGGCAUUGGACUUUGCACACCGAGUUCGGCAGAUAACACGUUAAAUAAAUGACCCAUUAGACAUCACGUCUCUGCCUGCUAUUUACUCUGCCCCUGAGUGUGCCCAUCUGGAGUGUGAGAUAAUGCCGUUAAGCUGCCCC